rnacentral:rRNA from 1 species
UACGUAGGGCGCAAGCGUUGUCCGGAAUUACUGGGCGUAAAGAGCUCGUAGGUGGUUUGUCGCGUUGUCCGUGAAAACUCACAACUCAAUUGUGGGCGUGCGGGCGAUACGGGCAGACUGGAGUACUGCAGGGGAGACUGGAAUUCCUGGUGUAGCGGUGGAAUGCGCAGAUAUCAGGAGGAACACCGGUGGCGAAGGCGGGUCACUGGCCCGGUACUGACGCUGAGGCGCGAAAGCGUGGGGAGCAAACAGG